rnacentral:lncRNA from 7 species
CACUGGCCUCAGCCAGCAUCUCUCAAGACUCAAACAGUUGACAGCAAGACUGCUGUUUUUGUUGGUGGGGAAUGAUAUGGAUCACUAGGAACUGCUUGGAGGCUACCUAAAACCUGUCGCAAUAAGAAAGCAUACGGAAAGGAGGACUGAUGCUAUCUCUGAGGGUGCUAUGCCAGAAAGGGUUAAAUCCAUCUGUGUACCUUGCUGGACUGGAUCAAAGCCACUCUUGCUCUUGGCCUCUUCUCCUCUGCUGAUGCUGUCUUGGGUUCUGCACGUGUUCAAGAGACGUCUGCCUGGGAGUCCAAACUCAAAGGUAACAAAUAUGGAGCUGGAGAAGAAGACAGGGCAGUAUCCGGAGCUGAAAUGAGUACUGUUAAUUUUCACCAAGCUAACAUGAUUCUUACAACAGGAUCACAGUGUCUGUAUGUCAGCUACUUUGAAAAAAAAAAAAGAAAAAGUUUUGCUGCCACGGUUUUGUGAAAGAAACUACACUACUGUGUUGGUUUGGUUCUGCAAUGUUUAUCACUUCUUUCCUUUCAGUCUGUACUAUUAAAUUUAAAAGGCUGAUCUAUCAGCAUGUAAUGUUUCUUCAAAACACGAUGUAGUGUCUAGAAAACCAAACUGUCAGACAUGCUUGUCAUGUACACAUAUUUUGUUAUUAAAUGUGUUCAGGCAUGAGUUUUGGCAGGACUUCUUCAAAACUAUCCUGAACUUUUCUUGACACCUUUUAUGGCACGUAAUGUAUCUGCAACUCAGAGCUUGGUAAGCCCUCAACUCUUUAAUUAUGAGCCUAGAAACUCCCUUCCUAAUUAUUGUCCUAUGACCUAAUUCUCAUGCCAAAGCCCAGAAAUUCAUGCUGCAGGUGCUUUAUUUGGCUGUCUCGGUAAUUUUUGCUUUUCACGGUGCCAGGAGUGUAGUCUGUGCUCUGCAUUCUUGUGUCAGGACAAUCCUUGAGUGGUUUGCAGUCACUUGCUGGCUGACAGGAAUGAUAUUAAGCAUCUGUCACUUUUUGUUGCAUCUUUUCCUCUGGCUAAGAAUGGUGUUAGUUCUCACCUGGUGCAUGUUGCUUGGAAUAUGUUUAACCAAAUUUUCUCCUGUAAAGGAUUAGGGUCUGCUAUUGCCAUUUGUGCAGCAUCAGGUGUUGCCAGAAACCUUUUCAUUUAAAGUGGACUUCUGUAAGCACUGUAGAAAAUAAAAGAACAAGACUUACAUAGCUGACGUGUCUAAUGCUACAUGAAUCCCCUUCUACCCCUAUGAGUAAGCUGAAGUAGAAGCUGGCUCUGAAUCUUGCCAAAGGCCACAGAGGAUGACAGUGCUGCAGAAUGAAUGGAUGCCAUGAAUCCACAGCUUCCACACAAUCAUUUUGAGAACGAAACUUCCUUCUAUUGGACCAAUUUUAAAGAAAACAAUGUAACAAGGAAUUCGGCUCUCUUCUUUAUGGCCUGGGGGAGAAAGUCUGGAAAAAGAUUGUCCGAUGAAUUAAUUAAUUUAAUAAAAGAGGUAUUAC